GUUUUUAGCAGACAAUGCGCAAGCUGUACGAUUUUAGAAAGAGGGAUAGACGAAAGAUCAGUCGCGAUCCUGCAUGCUGUUACAUUUAGUCGUCUGUGAGUGACAGACGUCUCUUGACCUCGCGUUUUACUUAGGCAUGUAAGAUUAAGCGAGGAAUUUGGCCACAUGAAACUCGAUUCUUCUUAGAAUAAGAAAUCUGUCAAAACUUGAUUAUAACGUAUAAUAAUUAUUGAUAAAAUUUUUAAAAGAGCAUAUAUAACAUUGAUCAAACGCAACUGCUAGAAGUCUAAUCAAGACAACACACGAGAAGAUGGGUUUCAAAAUAAGCUUUUUAUUUAUACUUGUUACCUUCAGCAUGUUUAGCACGGUAUAUCUGAAUUCACCGAAUUCAUCUGAAGAGAAACCAUUUUUGGAUCUGAAUAAAUUAUAUAGGCAGCGUUAUGGUAGACCUACUUUUUGUGAUAUUCCAUAUGACGAUGGUAGAUGCUGUGAAAUUAAACAUCCCAAUGGUACCUGCACCGACUUGUUGGAAGAAAUUCGAGCAGAAAAUGUUCAACUCAGAUAUUGGUAUAAUAAACAUUCGAAAGUAUGUGAACCUUUUCAGUGGCAUAAGUGCAGAAAAAAUGACAAUAAUUUUAUAAGUAGGAUAGAUUGCGAGGACUUGUGCUUUUUAAACAUAUAAUUCUGAAUACAUCUUACAUAUAAAAUUUUUUAAGGUUUCUUAUAUAUUGAUAUGUAUUUGUAAUACCUUAAUAUUUAAAUAGAAAUACUAAAUGAAAGACUUUGUGAAGUCUUUAUAAAAUACUUGUAAAAGUGUUUUAUUUUUACAA